rnacentral:rRNA from 1 species
AUUGAACGCUGGCGGCAUGCCUUACACAUGCAAGUCGAACGGCAGCACGGGAGCAAUCCUGGUGACGAGUGGCGAACGGGUGAGUAAUAUAUCGGAACGUGCCCAGUCGUGGGGAUAACGUAGCGAAAGCUACGCUAAUACCGCAUACGAUCUAUGGAUGAAAGCGGGGGAUCGCAAGACCUCGCGCGAUUGGAGCGGCCGAUAUCAGAUUAGGUAGUUGGUGAGGUAAAGGCUCACCAAGCCGACGAUCUGUAGCUGGUCUGAGAGGACGACCAGCCACACUGGGACUGAGACACGGCCCAGACUCCUACGGGAGGCAGCAGUGGGGAAUUUUGGACAAUGGGCGCAAGCCUGAUCCAGCAAUGCCGCGUGCAGGAUGAAGGCCUUCGGUU